GCUUAACACAUGCAAGUCGAGGGGCAUCAGGAAGAAAGCUUGCUUUCUUUGCUGGCGACCGGCGCACGGGUGAGUAACACGUAUCCAACCUGCCCUUUACUCGGGGAUAGCCUUUCGAAAGAAAGAUUAAUACCCGAUGGCAUAAUGAUUCCGCAUGGUUUCAUUAUUAAAGGAUUCCGGUCAAGGAUGGGGAUGCGUUCCAUUAGGUUGUUGGUGAGGUAACGGCUCACCAAGCCUUCGAUGGAUAGGGGUUCUGAGAGGAAGGUCCCCCACAUUGGAACUGAGACACGGUCCAAACUCCUACGGGAGGCAGCAGUGAGGAAUAUUGGUCAAUGGGCGCUAGCCUGAACCAGCCAAGUAGCGUGAAGGAUGAAGGCUCUAUGGGUCGUAAACUUCUUUUAUAUAAGAAUAAAGUGCAGUAUGUAUACUGUUUUGUAUGUAUUAUAUGAAUAAGGAUCGGCUAACUCCGUGCCAGCAGCCGCGGUAAUACGGAGGAUCCGAGCGUUAUCCGGAUUUAUUGGGUCUAAAGGGAGCGUAGGUGGACUGGUAAGUCAGUUGUGAAAGUUUGCGGCUCAACCGUAAAAUUGCAGUUGAUACUGUCAGUCUUGAGUACAGUAGAGGUGGGCGGAAUUCGUGGUGUAGCGGUGAAAUGCUUAGAUAUCACGAAGAACUCCGAUUGCGAAGGCAGCUCACUGGACUGCAACUGACACUGAUGCUCGAAAGUGUGGGUAUCAAACAGGAUUAGAUACCCUGGUAGUCCACACAAUAAACGAUGAAUACUCGCUGUUUGCGAUAUACAGUAAGCGGCCAAGCGAAAGCAUUAAGUAUUCCACCUAGGGAGUACGCCGGCAACGGUGAAACUCAAAGGAAUUGACGGGGGCCCGCACAAGCGGAGGAACAUGUGGUUUAAUUCGAUGAUACGCGAGGAACCUUACCCGGGCUUAAAUUGCAGUGGAAUGAUGUGGAAACAUGUCAGUGAGCAAUCACCGCUGUGAAGGUGCUGCAUGGUUGUCGUCAGCUCGUGCCGUGAGGUGUCGGCUUAAGUGCCAUAACGAGCGCAACCCUUAUCUUUAGUUACUAACAGGUUAUGCUGAGGACUCUAGAGAGACUGCCGUCGUAAGAUGUGAGGAAGGUGGGGAUGACGUCAAAUCAGCACGGCCCUUACGUCCGGGGCUACACACGUGUUACAAUGGGGGGUACAGAAGGCAGCUAGCGGGUGACCGUAUGCUAAUCCCAAAAGCCUCUCUCAGUUCGGAUCGAAGUCUGCAACCCGACUUCGUGAAGCUGGAUUCGCUAGUAAUCGCGCAUCAGCCACGGCGCGGUGAAUACGUUCCCGGGCCUUGUACACACCGCCCGUCAAGCCAUGGGAGCCGGGGGUACCUGAAGUACGUAACCGCAAGGAUCGUCCUAGGGUAAAACUGGUGACUGGGGCUAA
rnacentral:rRNA from 1 species